rnacentral:rRNA from 1 species
UACGUAGGGUGCAAGCGUUAAUCGGAAUUACUGGGCGUAAAGCGUGCGCAGGCGGUUGUGCAAGACAGAUGUGAAAUCCCCGGGCUCAACCCUGGGAAUUGCAUUUGUGACUGCACGGCUAGAGUGUGUCAGAGGGGGUAGAAUUCCACGUGUGAGCAGUGAAAUGCGUAGAGAUGUGGAGGAAUACCGAUGGCGAAGGCAGCCCCCUGGGAUAACACUGACGCUCAUGCACGAAGCGUGG